AUGCUACGUUACUACAAAGAGAAGAUUCAGUCUGAGGGAAAACAAUUUGUCUUCAAAGAGACACAUCAUGAGGAGUGUGCAAAACAAAUCAAUGCAAAGUUUACCACCGCCUUCACACAAAGGCAAGUUUAUCACAAGUUCCAUAAGCUGAAAGGUCAGUGGAAGAUCAUACUAGAGGCGAAGAAUUUAAGCGGUGCCAAUUUUGAUGAUGUCAACAAGAUAAUAUUAUAUGAUGAUACUGAAGUUGUACGGAUGAAGAACAACAAAGACAAGAGGGCAAAAUAUAUCAAUGUGCCUAUUGCCAACUUUGAUGAGAUGGAGUUCAUAUUUCAGGAUAAGCAUGCUACCGGAGAGUUCACUGUCCUUCAAACACCCUAUGACCGUGUUCAUGCUCGUGACAAGGAUUUUAUUGGUGACACCGAGAAGAAUGCGAUUGAUAUUGAGGUUGAUCCUGCAACACAAUAUGAUUCAGAUUGUCUUCCUGACGACACCAAUAAUGAAAGCUCAUCUUCGAAGCGUCCUAGAGGUGGCAAACGUGAUAAAGGUAAGAGGGUGAAGCAAGACAUGACGCGGUCUCUGCGUGAUAUGUCGGAUACUAUGCGUUUCACACACGUGACCAACCCGAAUGAGAAUUUAUUCAAAAUAAUUGAUGACAUGGAAGAAUACCCUCUAUUCGUCCGACUUUCACUGCAGACAUCUUUGGCCACCAAUGAACAAGUGGCGUCCAUGUUGAAGGGGAGGCCGAUGGCUGCUAUUCAAGAGUUUGUGCGGCGCUGGGUCCGUGAUAACUUUCCUGAACACGUUCAUGUUCCUCCUGGCGUGUGA
rnacentral:rRNA from 1 species